rnacentral:tRNA from 1 species
CGGGGUGUGGCGCAGCCUGGUAGCGCACCUGCUUUGGGAGCAGGGGGUCGCCGGUUCAAAUCCGGCCACCCCGACCA